rnacentral:sRNA from 1 species
AGAAGGGACAAUACGUUCUAUUACUACAACAAACAGAGGGAAUGUGAUGACAAGGAAGUCCACAAAGAUCCGUGCGACUCGGCCUCCCAAAGUUGAGGGGGGUCACAGACAAAAUGAGAGAUUUCCACAUUCUUGACGAUGGUGAAUUGUAACACAAUCCAACUGUGCAGCUGGGAAUCCAACAGGCUAAGGAAAAAGGACACCAAAACGAAGAAGACACAGAGAAAAAGAUCUCAGUCUAAUUGAAAGAAAUUAAGAAGCCCUGAAAUACAGUCUAUUUUAUUCUGACACCGUGCUACAGAUUCCUUUGAUGUAGAAUAUGUAAAAGGAUGAUACAAGAGCUAGGACCGCAUUAUCUAAAAACGAAAUCGAACCUUAGAGUUCUCAAUCGGAAGACCUUUUCACAUGCCAGUUACUUUUCACAUUUAUUAUCAUCCUUAGGUUUUCUGACAUCAUUUCUUCAUAAAAGUACAUGCACACUCCAAUA